UGGGGGAUCUUGCGCAAUGGGCGAAAGCCUGACGCAGCGACGCCGCGUGAGGGAUGAAGGCCUUCGGGUUGUAAACCUCUUUCAGCAGGGACGAAGCGAAAGUGACGGUACCUGCAGAAGAAGCCCCGGCCAACUACGUGCCAGCAGCCGCGGUAAGACGUAGGGGGCGAGCGUUGUCCGGAUUCAUUGGGCGUAAAGCGCGCGCAGGCGGCCCGGUAAGUCGGAUGUGAAAAUCCACGGCUCAACCGUGGACGGUCAUUCGAUACUGUCGGGCUCGAGGCAGGUAGGGGAGAUCGGAAUUCCUGGUGUAGCGGUGAAAUGCGCAGAUAUCAGGAGGAACACCGGUGGCGAAGGCGGAUCUCUGGGCCUGUCCUGACGCUCAGGCGCGAAAGCUGGGGGAGCAAACAGG
rnacentral:rRNA from 1 species